rnacentral:rRNA from 1 species
ACGCUGGCGGCACGCCUAAUACAUGCAAGUCGAACGAAGUAGCAAUACUUAGUGGCAGACGGGUGAGUAACAUGUAGGUAUCUUCCCUUUGGUGAGGAAUAACACGAGGAAACUUGUGCUAAUACCUCAUAAGUCUUUACGGAGAAAGCUUUAUGCGCCAUUGGAUGAGCCUGCACUUGAUUAGUUUGUUGGUGGGGUAAUGGCCUACCAAGACUUUGAUCAAUAGCUGAUUUGAGAGGAUGAUCAGCCACAUUGGGACUGAGACACGGCCCAAACUCCUACGGGAGGCAGCAGUAGGGAAUCUUGCACAAUGGAGGAAACUCUGAUGCAGCGAUGCCGCGUGAGUGAAGAAGGCCCUUGGGUUGUAAAGCUCUUUCGUCGGGGAAGAAAAUGACUGUACCCGAAUAAGAAGGUCCGGCUAACUUCGUGCCAGCAGCCGCGGUAAUACGAAGGGACCUAGCGUAGUUCGGAAUUACUGGGCUUAAAGAGUUCGUAGGUGGUUAAAAAAGUUGGUGGUGAAAUCCCAGAGCUUAACUCUGGAACUGCCAUCAAAACUUUUUAGCUAGAGUAUGAUAGAGGAAAGCAGAAUUUCUAGUGUAGAGGUGAAAUUCGUAGAUAUUAGAAAGAAUACCGAUUGCGAAGGCAGCUUUCUGGAUCAUUACUGACACUGAGGAACGAAAGCAUGGGUAGCGAAGAGGAUUAGAUACCCUCGUAGUCCAUGCCGUAAACGAUGUGUGUUAGACGUUGGAAAUUUAUUUUCAGUGUCGCAGCGAAAGCAAUAAACACACCGCCUGGGGAGUACGAC